UCAGCGCUAUYCGGGAUCAUUGGGUUUAAAGGGUCCGUAGUGUCGGCCUWAUAAUGCUCAGCGGGUUGAAAGCCCAUCCUGMCUCAACGGUGGAACGGCCAUUGAUACCUGUUAUACUUGAAUUAUUAAGAAGUCAUAUCUACGUAAUAUGUAGGUGUGAACCGGUGAAAUGCUUCAUGAGAUUACAUGGAAUACCAAUUGCSAAGGCUGGUUACUACUAAUUGAUUGACGCUWAUUGACGAWAGCGUGGGUAGCGAACAGGAUUAGAUACCCUGGUAGUCCACGCCGUAAACGAUGGAUACUAGCUGUCUGGGAGCAAUCUCAGUGGCUAAGCGAAAGUGAUAAGUAUCCCACCUGGGGAGUACGUUCGCAAGAAUGAAACUCAAAGGAAUUGACGGGGGCCCGCACAAGCGGUGGAGCAUGUGGUUUAAUUCGAUGAUACGCGAGGAACCUUACCAAGGCUUAAAUGUAGAUUGACCGUUUUGGAAACAGAACUUUCGCAAGACAAUUUACAAGGUGCUGCAUGGUUGUCGUCAGCUCGUGCCGUGAGGUGUCAGGUUAAGUCCUAUAACGAGCGCAACCCCUGUUGUUAGUUGCCAGCGAGUCAAGUCGGGAACUCUAACAAGACUGCCAGUGCAAACUGUGAGGAAGGUAGGGGAUGACGUCAAAUCAUCACGGCCCUUACGCCUUGGGCCGUACACACGUGCUACAAUGGCCGGUACAGGAGAGCAGCCCACUGGGCGACCAGGAGCGAAUCUAUAAAACCGGUCACAGUUCGGAUCGGAGUCAUGCCACUCGACUCCCGUGAAGCCUGGAAUCGCUAGUAAUCGGCAUAUUCAGCCAUGUAUGCCGCGUGAAGACGUCCCGCCCU
rnacentral:rRNA from 1 species